GUUGCUUAUUAACAUAUAGUGUCCAAAUAAAGUGUGACUGCUUUCUGUGUUAAACAUUUAAUUAAUUUGGCCUUGGGGGGAAGUUAUAUAGUUAAUAGAUAAGUAGGCUAUGUUAUUCCUUGUGUUGAAUAUGUUAUGUUGGUGGCCACUGAGGUGUGGGCUGCAUCCCAAAUUGCACCCUAUUCCCUAUACAGUAUAGUGGACUGCUUUUGACCAGGGGCCUCAUUUAUCAAAGGUGCGUGGGCACAAAAAAGACUCUAAAUCUUGCGUGCGUCAGUUUUCUGCAAAGGCUGGUAUUUUAAAAUGUUGAACUUGACAGGAAAGUGAAUGUUGUUAUUUUGGCGGAAAUGGAAGUGCUUGAUGCACAGGAAUUAUAAUAAUGGAUCAGAUGGUGACAGGUGUCCCUGCAGGGUCAGACAGCCAGGGAAGACCAGUCUACGGAGCUCAGGAUCAGAUGGUGACAGGGGUCUCAUCAGGGUCAGGCAGCCAGGGAAGACCACUCUGUGAUGGAGCUGAGGUGAAUUUUUGCAGAUACAACACUAUUUUCUGUGCAGCAAACACUGGACAAGCAAGAAGCUUCAAAGAUUGAAACUAUUUUAAGGCAGUCUGACAUAGAGGCUUUUCCUGAUGACACACAGCAUGUAAAACUAAAAUGUGAGGAAGACCUGGGAGACGCUAUUGAUGAUAAUGAAUGGAUACAGAUACGUUAGAAUGCCCAGUCAUGUUCAUAUAUUCUCAGACAAAAAUUACUAUAACAUACUAUAUGCCAGUGAAACUGAAUAUCAUGCACACAGAAAUGUACACAUGGAAAUGUCAUUAUUCUGCUGGAGUUGUAAAACACAAAAGGGGACAUAUUUGCAUAUUUUAUGGUAUUGUGAAGGCUGGCUGAAUUCUGUCACAGAGUAUGUUCUUCUAUCUCAGCAUGUCUACAGAUUUUCCCUUCUCCCUGUUUUUGUUUGCUUGGAAAUGUUGAUACUGGAGACUGUUAUCAGAAGAAACAGUGCAACCUAGCAUUUAUAGUGGCUAAGAAAUGUAUUGCCAUUAAUUGGAAGGUUGGUUAUCCUCCCACAAUGGAUGAAAGGAAUGUCAAGUUAAGUAUCACUAGAUUUGAUUUAUUACAAGAUUAAGUUUAGACUGUAUACAUUUCAGAAGGUAUUUAUGCCUUAUAUGGAAUGCUGUACGACAAAAGGAGUAUUGAAAAAAUGCCCACGUCAGGGAAGAACUAUUUAGGCAAUCCCUAGCUGCUGGGCUGCUGAGUCGUGGCCCUGGGGGUCUGCUCUACUGUUGGUUGUCACUGACGUUCACCUAACACACCUGAAACCAAUGAUGAAUGUUUCACUAAGAUCAUAAAGCUGAGUGGGGUGUGUUGGGUUGUGGCGCUGCAGGGCGGUAGACCCUUAGGGGCAGGACCGGGUGACCCAGCUAUAUUGUGUGCAGAUAAAAAGAGCUCUGCAGUAAUAUUAAGUCUAUGAUAUGAAUUAAAUUGAGAAUCUGUGUUAUGUGUGUUUUUAUACAACUUUUGUUUACCAAACCUUUCCUUGAGACAAAACAAAAGAUGGGAAGGAAGUUUUGUUGGGGGAGAGAGUUGCGUUAUUGACUAGACUGGUGGGGGUUGGGCAUGCAGGUGGCUCGGGCUGGCUGAAAUUUGAUGUAGAGGAUGUCUCAAUAAAUACAAUCAAAAGUCUUUGUACUUUAUUUGUAAGAGUUGUUCAUUUGUUAGGCUAUUGGUUAAAGGUGCAACCGAAUAUUGAUUAUUGAAUUAUCAUUGAUCUAGUUCAGUCUUAUCAAUCACUUAAACCUAUUUAAUAAUGAUCUCUUACCUAACUUGAUGACUGGGCAUUUUUGCUUACUUUAUGUUGUUCCAAAUACAGAUGGCUAGAAGGGCCAUUGGUCAUAUUAGGUUGUGUAGAAAUGUAGGAAAUGUUCCUUCACAGGGCUCGAGACUUGGUUUGUCCGGCCAUGCACUGCUGAAGACAUAGUAAAACUCCUUGUAUACAAAUUUUUAUCUCACUCAAAUUAUGAGGGGGUCCCUAAUGAAUUGACUAUCACAACAGGCAUCCCCGGACCCAAAAAGUAUCAAAACCCCUUUUCUAGUGUUCUCACUGAUCUCUGGACUUCUAUUACAGUUUACAACCCACUGUGCAUACCAUGCUGUUCUGUAUGAACAUAGUACUGUUUGGUAUUCACCGAAGCACCAGAGACACACACACACACACACACCCAUGUCCCAAAUAGAGUUGUCAUCGUGCUGUAGGGUCAGUGGCUUACACAGAGCGGAAUGCCGUCGGGCACAGGGGAUAGGUUACAUCACAUGCCUCACAAGACCUGUCAUCACUACCUUUCAUCUCACCCUGUCCACACACAUAGUUGGCAUUUAGCGUUUGAGUGUGCGUUUGUCUCUGUGUGCAUGUGUGUGUGUGUGUGCACCUGUGUGUGUCUUCCUGCAUUGUUUAACCUGCAUCUAUUAUCUUACAUAAUUAAUUCCCUCAGAGCCAGACACAACCUUAAAAACUGCAACCUUAUCACAGCUACCAAUUACCAGACAAUAGUUGGUCACCAGUUACCGCUGGCUACACAGAGGUUAUGUCAACACACACACAUUAGUGAUCAACAGCUCAGCCACACAGAGACAGAAACGCCAGAGGGUGUGUGACUGUGUGGUGUGGUGUGUCGUGUGCUGCCCAGCCAAACAUCGCCUCCAGGUGGGGGAGCGAUUUCACAGGUUUCAGAAGGUAAAUAACUGCAUUUCAGAGUUAUGUCUCCUUUGUAAUUGAGUUCUAUUCCAUUCCGUUUAGUUGUUACCUUUACGAGGGCCUUGGAGUAGAUUGCAAAUGAGAAUUCCGGUUCCAGUUUCUUAUGAAAGAAAUCAACCAGUAGUACUCCAAAGGUCAUUUUCCAACCUGUUGAAUGAAAAUAACUUCUUUCUGAUAACUUGUUUUAUUACCAAGGUUAUGACAUAAUACACUGUUUACAUAGUGACCAGUAGGGUUUGUGAACAGCAGAGCCCAAACAAUAUACCAAUAUUGGCAUUUGUCACGUCUCCUCCCCUGGCAUUCGACGUCGGGUGGUAUACUAACCACCGGUCCUGGGAUCCAUCAUUAUGCACACCUGGCAUCCAUCAUGACGCGCACCAGCAGAUCAUCAUGAUACUCACCCUUCCUGAUUACCUCCCCAAUAUCUGUCACUCCCUUGGGUUCCUUCCUCAGUCAGUAUUGUUCCUGUGUAAAUGCCACUGUUUGCAGGUUCAGCACCUCCGUGCAGACACAUCUACCCUCUGUCGGUGGCUGAGACCCAGGCCAUGGAGGAUUACAUCCAAGAGGCGCUCCAACAAAGUAUAUCCACUUCUCCUGCAUCGGCUGGUUUCUUCUUUGUGGCCAAGAAGGAUGGAGGGUUAUGUUCCGUAUACUAACCACCGGUCCUGGGAUCCAUCAUUACGCACACCUGCAGAUCAUGAUACUCACCUGGACUCAUUACCUUCCUGAUUACUUCCCCUAUAUCUGUCACUCCCUUUGGUUCUAUCCCCAGUCAGUAUUGUUUCUGUGUAUAUGCGUAAACGCCACUGUUAUGUUGUCGCAUUUCAUGUUUGUUGUGUUCAUAAACGUUUCACCUGCACCUGCUUCUUGACUCCGUUACAGCAUUUUACUGAUAUAUAAAUAUAUAUCGGAUGAUAAAUCCACCGAUAUUCAAUGAAUAGGAUUAAAAAGGCAAAUGUUCCCUUUUUUUAAACUUUACUUGAUCAAAAAUGAGGUUACUGCUGGAAGUCGCAGACUCAAUAGCCUUGGUUUCUCAAAUGACUGCUUCGCCUGAUUCACCAACUACUUCUCAGAUAGAGUUCAGUAUGUCAAAUCUGAGGGCCUGUUGUUCAACCUCUGGCAGUCUAUGGGGGUGCCACAGGGUUCAAUUCUCGGGCAAACUCUUUUCUCUGUAUAUAUCAAUGAUGUUGCUCUUGCUGCUGUCAAUUCUCUGAUCCACCUCUACACAGACGACACCAUUCUGUAUACAUCUGGCCCUUCUUUGGACACUGUGUAAACAAACCUCCAAAACGAUCUUCAAUACCAUACAACACUCCUUCCCUGGCCUCCAACUGCUCUUAACCUUUUCACAUGUGAGUUCCAAAUAUCUCUAAUGGUCGCCCCAGCGUGAAUUGUUUAUGCACGUGAUGUCAGAAU